GAUGAACGCUGGCGGCGUGCCUAAUACAUGCCAGUCGAGUGAACAGACGAGGAGCUUGCUCCUCUGACGUUAGCGGCGGACGGGUGAGUAACACGUGGAUAACCUACCUAUAAGACUGGGAUAACUUCGGGAAACCGGAGCUAAUACCGGAUAAUAUAUUGAACCGCAUGGUUCAAUAGUGAAAGACGGUUUUGCUGUCACUUAUAGAUGGAUCCGCGCCGCAUUAGCUAGUUGGUAAGGUAACGGCUUACCAAGGCAACGAUGCGUAGCCGACCUGAGAGGGUGAUCGGCCACACUGGAACUGAGACACGGUCCAGACUCCUACGGGAGGCAGCAGUAGGGAAUCUUCCGCAAUGGGCGAAAGCCUGACGGAGCAACGCCGCGUGAGUGAUGAAGGUCUUCGGAUCGUAAAACUCUGUUAUUAGGGAAGAACAAAUGUGUAAGUAACUAUGCACGUCUUGACGGUACCUAAUCAGAAAGCCACGGCUAACUACGU
rnacentral:rRNA from 1 species